UUUAUGGAGAGUUUGAUCCUGGCUCAGAGUGAACGCUGGCGGCGUGCCUAAUACAUGCAAGUCGAACGAUGAAGCUUCUAGCUUGCUAGAAUGCUGAUUAGUGGCGCACGGGUGAGUAACGCAUAGGUUAUGUGCCUCUUAGUUUGGGAUAGCCAUUGGAAACGAUGAUUAAUACCAGAUACUCCCUACGGGGGAAAGAUUUAUCGCUAAGAGAUCAGCCUAUGUCCUAUCAGCUUGUUGGUAAGGUAAUGGCUUACCAAGGCUAUGACGGGUAUCCGGCCUGAGAGGGUGAACGGACACACUGGAACUGAGACACGGUCCAGACUCCUACGGGAGGCAGCAGUAGGGAAUAUUGCUCAAUGGGGGAAACCCUGAAGCAGCAACGCCGCGUGGAGGAUGAAGGUUUUAGGAUUGUAAACUCCUUUUGUUAGAGAAGAUAAUGACGGUAUCUAACGAAUAAGCACCGGCUAACUCCGUGCCAGCAGCCGCGGUAAUACGGAGGGUGCAAGCGUUACUCGGAAUCACUGGGCGUAAAGAGCGCGUAGGCGGGAUAGUCAGUCAGGUGUGAAAUCCUAUGGCUUAACCAUAGAACUGCAUUUGAAACUACUAUUCUAGAGUGUGGGAGAGGUAGGUGGAAUUCUUGGUGUAGGGGUAAAAUCCGUAGAGAUCAAGAGGAAUACUCAUUGCGAAGGCGACCUGCUGGAACAUUACUGACGCUGAUUGCGCGAAAGCGUGGGGAGCAAACAGGAUUAGAUACCCUGGUAGUCCACGCCCUAAACGAUGGAUGCUAGUUGUUGGAGGGCUUAGUCUCUCCAGUAAUGCAGCUAACGCAUUAAGCAUCCCGCCUGGGGAGUACGGUCGCAAGAUUAAAACUCAAAGGAAUAGACGGGGACCCGCACAAGCGGUGGAGCAUGUGGUUUAAUUCGAAGAUACACGAAGAACCUUACCUAGGCUUGACAUUGAGAGAAUCCGCUAGAAAUAGUGGAGUGUCUGGCUUGCCAGACCUUGAAAACAGGUGCUGCACGGCUGUCGUCAGCUCGUGUCGUGAGAUGUUGGGUUAAGUCCCGCAACGAGCGCAACCCCCUUUCUUAGUUGCUAACAGGUCAUGCUGAGAACUCUAAGGAUACUGCCUCCGUAAGGAGGAGGAAGGUGGGGACGACGUCAAGUCAUCAUGGCCCUUACGCCUAGGGCUACACACGUGCUACAAUGGGGUGCACAAAGAGAAGCAAUACUGCGAAGUGGAGCCAAUCUUCAAAACAUCUCUCAGUUCGGAUUGUAGGCUGCAACUCGCCUGCAUGAAGCUGGAAUCGCUAGUAAUCGCAAAUCAGCCAUGUUGCGGUGAAUACGUUCCCGGGUCUUGUACUCACCGCCCGUCACACCAUGGGAGUUGUGUUUGCCUUAAGUCAGGAUGCUAAAUUGGCUACUGCCCACGGCACACACAGCGACUGGGGUGAAGUCGUAACAAGGUAACCGUAGGUGAACCUGCGGUUGGAUCACCUCCUUUCUAGA
rnacentral:rRNA from 1 species